rnacentral:rRNA from 1 species
AUUGAACGCUGGCGGCAGGCCUAACACAUGCAAGUCGAGCGGAUGAAGGGAGCUUGCUCCUGGAUUCAGCGGCGGACGGGUGAGUAAUGCCUAGGAAUCUGCCUGGUAGUGGGGGAUAACGUCCGGAAACGGGCGCUAAUACCGCAUACGUCCUGAGGGAGAAAGUGGGGGAUCUUCGGACCUCACGCUAUCAGAUGAGCCUAGGUCGGAUUAGCUAGUUGGUGGGGUAAAGGCCUACCAAGGCGACGAUCCGUAACUGGUCUGAGAGGAUGAUCAGCCAGAAGUGAAUGGAGACACGGGCAGGAGUCAGAAGGGAGGAGGAUGAGAAGUAGACGGGACCCGGGGCGAGAGAGUGAUGCAGCCGUGGGGAGGGUGUGAAAAAGGUUGUAGGAUGUGAAGGUAAGUGAAGAGGGGAGGAUGGGAAGUAAGUUAUUUGCUUGCUGUUUUGACGUUACAAAAAGAAUAAGCAACGGAUAACUCCGUGCCAGCGGCGGCGGUAUGAGUAGGAAGCCACACUUUCGAAC